AUGAGGAUCACCCUGGCAGCCUUCGAGAGCCACCUGCCCUUCCACGGCUCCACCCGAUGCUGCAUUCUAGUCACCGUCAGGCGGAGGUCGGCCACGGUCAGUCUCGAGUCACUAAUGGGUAUCCCCAACACCCCCCGGCACCGCCACAUCAGGUGGUUGUGCGUUGGGGUCCUCGCUUGGACGCUUUGGACCAUCUGCAACAAGCAUGUUAUUCAAAAAAUGCCUCUGCGACGUGCGACAGAUGCGAUCUUUAAAAUGUGUGGUUACCUGCAACUUUGGCGGCCGCUUAGCCGCACCCAGGAUAGGGACACCAUCGACAACCUCCUCGCCGACCUUCGCUCGAUGGCCUUCCGAGUGGCGCCUCUGCUUCCGCCCCCUCCCCCGGAGCCCGAUUAG
rnacentral:rRNA from 1 species